AACGCGAAGAACCUUACCAGGUCUUGACAUCCCGAUGAAAGCUACAGAGAUGUAGCCCCUCUUCGGAGCAUUGGAGACAGGUGGUGCAUGGUUGUCGUCAGCUCGUGUCGUGAGAUGUUGGGUUAAGUCCCGCAACGAGCGCAACCCUUGACUUUAGUUGCCAGCAUUCAGUUGGGCACUCUAGAGUGACUGCCGGUGACAAACCGGAGGAAGGUGGGGAUGACGUCAAAUCAUCAUGCCCCUUAUGACCUGGGCUACACACGUACUACAAUGGCCGGUACAACGGGAAGCGAAACCGCGAGGUGGAGCGAAUCUUUAGAAGCCGGUCUCAGUUCGGAUUGCAGGCUGCAACUCGCCUGCAUGAAGUCGGAAUUGCUAGUAAUCGCGGAUCAGCAUGCCGCGGUGAAUACGUUCCCGGGCCUUGUACACACCGUAGUAC
rnacentral:rRNA from 1 species